ensembl:lncRNA
GCACGCCUGGGGCACUUUCGUGACUUUAUAGAUUACUCAUAGGUGUAAGUCUAUGAUGUGACUCCGAAAAGCACUGUCCAAAAAUGGCUUGUUCUAAAGAGCACAAGAAUUUACAUAGACUUAGAUAAUUAGAAUAUUUUCACACCGCCACCUUUAGUAUGAGAAUCAUACUAUCAGAGCUUUGUUUUGAAGACUUUGUUUCUGCUCUGAUUAUGCUCUCUCUUCAUUGUGUAGUCCUUCUGGGUGGCCCGACCUUGCUACAUUAUGUAGACCAGGUUGGCUUUCAACUCAGAGAGAUACACCUGCCUCUCCAUAUGGAGUGCUGGGAUUAAAGGCAUGAGCUACCACUGCCAGCUAUUGAAAAGGUUUUGAUGAGCAAAACGACUUGAGAGGGAAGCUUGGACAGAAGUAGGCGAUUUAGCUGGCCCUGUAGGGAAAUUUUACGAACCCUAGAAGAGAAACGGAGAAGUGACAACUACGUUAACCUGAGCUAAGUGAGCGAAUAAGAAAGAAUUAUAGCUGGGCCUCAGGACACAAGUCUGUAAGAGCUCACCUCUUCUGGAGGUUGAGCAUGAGGUGGCCCGUGGCAAAUUCUAGGUUGGCUGGUGCCACAGAUGUGAUGAAGCAUAUUAAUGUGGAGAAUGAAGAAAAUGAUCAGACCCCUUCAGAGCCAGGAGAAAUCUUCAAAAGAAGAAAGUUGUUCAAAAGCCCAAGAAAGCCUGGAAAACAAAGACAAUGAACCUGAAAAAAGAGAGCUCAGAGAAUAAGAAUGCAAGUGAAUCUAAGUCACUUGAUACUGGGCCACCUAGUGCCCUCCAAAAAGAUUGUGCAUAUAAGACUACUAAACAAAGUUUAAAGGAAGAAAAAGCAAAAUUGACUAGGCGGGUUUAGAAGGAAGACCUUCUCCAGAGCUUAAAGUUAGUCAAAAUGUAUAAAGAAUGACAUGAGUGAGUUAGAGGAUUUAAUUAAGAAGUGGAAAUGUGGCCAGCGGCCAUUGAUCAUCGAGGAUGAGGACGAGGAACUGACCUCACUGAGUUGAUCCACUACUGUGGGACAGAUGUCAAAUUGCUGCAUUAUGAUAAACGUGAAGAAGAAUUUACAGGGGUUUGAUGCUGUUAUUUUUUUUCAGGCUUUUGUCCCCCUCUCUUCUUGGGGUAAUGG